UGGGGGGCUGCUUACCAUGCAAGUCGAACGAUGAAGCCCUUCGGGGUGGAUUAGUGGCGAACGGGUGAGUAACACGUGGGCAAUCUGCCCUUCACUCUGGGACAAGCCCUGGAAACGGGGUCUAAUACCGGAUAACACCGGCCUCUGCAUGGAGGCUGGUUGAAAGCUCCGGCGGUGAAGGAUGAGCCCGCGGCCUAUCAGCUUGUUGGUGGGGUAAUGGCCUACCAAGGCGACGACGGGUAGCCGGCCUGAGAGGGCGACCGGCCACACUGGGACUGAGACACGGCCCAGACUCCUACGGGAGGCAGCAGUGGGGAAUAUUGCACAAUGGGCGAAAGCCUGAUGCAGCGACGCCGCGUGAGGGAUGACGGCCUUCGGGUUGUAAACCUCUUUCACCUGGGAAGAAACCUAAGUGACGGUACCUGGUUUUUUAAGUUUC
rnacentral:rRNA from 1 species